rnacentral:rRNA from 1 species
CCUACGGGAGGCAGCAGUGGGGAAUAUUGGACAAUGGGCGCAAGCCUGAUCCAGCCAUACCGCGUGUGUGAAGAAGGCCUUUUGGUUGUAAAGCACUUUAAGCGAGGAGGAGGGCACUUUGGCUAAUACCCGAAUGUGUCGGACGUUACUCGCAGAAUAAGCACCGGCUAACUCUGUGCCAGCAGCCGCGGUAAUACAGAGGGUGCGAGCGUUAAUCGGAAUUACUGGGCGUAAAGCGCGCGUAGGCGGCUUGUUAAGUCGGAUGUGAAAUCCCCGGGCUCAACCUGGGCACUGCAUUCGAUACUGGCAAGCUAGAGUAUGGGAGAGGAAGGUAGAAUUCCAGGUGUAGCGGUGAAAUGCGUAGAGAUCUGGAGGAAUACCGAUGGCGAAGGCAGCCUUCUGGCCUAAUACUGACGCUGAGGUGCGAAAGCAUGGGGAGCAAACAGGAUUAGAUACCCUGGUAGUCCANCGUACGACGAGUAGUACUAUAUCGUGGUACGU